GACGAACCGUGCGAACGUUGUUCGGAUUCACUGGGCUUAAAGGGCGCGUAGGCGGGCGACCAAGUCAGGGGUGAAAUCCUCCAGCUUAACUGGAGAACAGCCUCUGAUACUGGCCGUCUGGAGGGAGGUAGGGGCCUGUGGAACUUCUGGUGGAGCGGUGAAAUGCGUAGAUAUCAGAAGGAACGCCGGUGGCGAAAGCGACGGGCUGGACCUCAUCUGACGCUGAGGCGCGAAAGCUAGGGGAGCAAACGGG
rnacentral:rRNA from 1 species